GGAGCCUUGGCUGGGGGCAGCGGCGCUGCUUGUAAUGAUCCAGUCCGGGAUUGUCAGGGAGGCCUUAUUUAAAUUACAUCUGAAGGGGAAUUUAGGCUUUAUAAAUCCCAGACUGGAUCAUUAACCCCCUCAGUGUCAGAUGGGGUGGGGGUUUGGGUUACUCACAAUCAAAUGCUUCAAUUUUUGCCUAAAUAUGGUUAAUCAAAAUUAUCAGUCAGGAAAAUAUGAAUCUGGACAAAUGAUGCUUUUUCUAUAAACCCUUUUAUAGCGGGUCCCCCCCCCCAUCUCUAGUUAUAAGGUGCCAGAGGCUGAUGGGCCCCUGCAUGAUAGGGCGUUCCCUCUGGCUGAACCAGACACGGCUAUUUAUUAGUUAAUCCUGGAGUUUUAUUGCCUCCUCUGCCCCCUCAGCUGUAGCCAAUUCUCUCACUUUAUAAGCCACUCACUCCCUGGGCUCAUUGUUUGGCCAUUAGAUUCUGUUCUGGUGAUUUAGACAGUUCCUGGGUACUGAUCCGGCCUGACUGACCCAAUGCCCAAGCCAUGCCCCCUUGGUUCCUUAUCUUUGCCAAAGAAGCCCUUGCUGCUGGUGUGUUUGUAUCCUUGGGACACCUGCCUGCAAUGUCUGCUAUUGGGGGUUUAUGCCCAGGACUGGGCUGAAGGUGCUACAAGCAGACUUGGUACAUCCCUGUCUAUUUCUGACUCUUCUCCAAGGUAAAGUGCCCCGGGGAUUUGUGAGCAGCUCCUUCUGGGAUCCUUUCUGAGGAAUCUUCAUCCUUCUGGGUAACCUCUCUAAUCAUCUGCUCAAGCUGUUGGUGGCCCCCAGGGAUGCUGUUGGUGGCCCCCAGGGAUGCUGUUGGUGGCCCCCAGGGAUGCUGUUGGUGGCCCCCAGAGAUGCUGUUGCCCUUCUCAGUCUGUUGCAGUUCCAAACGAGGGGGCCCUUAAGGCGGCUGCACCCGGGAGGGUAUGGAACUCUCUCAUUAUGAAUCUAGGAGGAUCUUGGUUCCUUCAAAGAUGAAGAGACUCGACUCCAUGCAGCUCAGAGAGGCAGCCCCACAGCCGCAUGUCUGGGAACCCACAGGAUUGGCUUUGCCUACAGCUGAGGCUCCGAUAUCUGAUGGUCAAUUCCUGUCGUGUUACUGAUGUCCAGGGAGCCAUGUAUUUCCCCCGGCUUCUAUUUGGUCAGUUAUUUAGGGUUAAUGUCAAAGCUGCUGAUGGACACCUUUUUUUUUAUAAGAUUAUUAUUAUUAUUAUUAUUAUUAUUAUUUAUAUAGUGCCAUCAGUUUACGCAGCACUUUACAGAAUAAAGGGGUACAGGACAGUUAACAUGUA